rnacentral:rRNA from 1 species
UGCGGAGGAUCAUUAUUGAAUAAAUUUGGUUGGGUUGUUGCUGGCCUCUCGGGGCAUGUGCACGCCUGGCACCAUUUUUACCACCUGUGCACCCUUUGUAGACCCGGGAAUAGGAUCCGCUGUUAAAGCUUUCCUUGCAUUCCCGGUCUACGUCUUUACAUACCCCACAAGCAUGUAAUAGAAUGUCAUUAAUUGGCCUCUGUGCCUUUAAAUCAAAUACAACUUUCAACAACGGAUCUCUUGGCUCUCGCAUCGAUGAAGAACGCAGCGAAAUGCGAUAAGUAAUGUGAAUUGCAGAAUUCAGUGAAUCAUCGAAUCUUUGAACGCACCUUGCGCUCCUUGGUAUUCCGAGGAGCAUGCCUGUUUGAGUGUCAUUAAAUUCUCAACCUUUCCUGCUUUUAUUAGCUGGGCAAGGCUUGGAUGUGGGGGUCUGCAGGCUUCUCAGAAGUCAGCUCUCCUUAAAUGCAUUAGCGGAACCUUUGUCGACCAGCCCUGGUGUGAUAAUUAUCUAUGCCAUUGUGAAGCGACUUUAAAUGGGGUUUGGCUUCUAAUCGUCCUUUACAAGGACANCCUUUUUGACAUUUGACCUCAAAUCAGGUAGGACUACCCGCUGAACUUAAGCAUAUCAAUA